rnacentral:rRNA from 1 species
UGCGUAAUAGCUCACUGGUCGAGAGGCCCUGCGCCGAAAAUAUCCGGGGCUCAAGCACAGAACCGAAGCCGCGGCAGGGUGUACUACGGUACACACUGGGUAGGGGAGCGUUCUUAUCUGGACGAAGGCAGACCGGAAGGACUGCUGGACGGGUAAGAAGUGAGAAUGCCGGUAUGAGUAGCGAAACGACAGGUGAGAAUCCUGUCCACCGAAAGCCUAAGGAAUCCCGGGCAACGCUCGUCGUCCCGGGGUAAGUCGGGACCUAAGCCGAGGCGAAAAGCAUAGGCGAUGGACAACUGGCGAAAAUUCCAGUACCGGGCGACUUCGUUUGAGGAUGGAGUGACGCAGGAAGGAAGCUGAGCGCGCGACUGGUUGGGCGCGUCGAAGGCGGUAGGCUGGUAUGGAGGCAAAUCCCCAUACCGGAAAGGCCGAGAACCGAUAGAUAGGAAGGGCUACGGCCCGACUGAAUUCAGCCGCACUAAACUGCCAAGAAAAGCUUCUAACGAGAAGUCGUCCGCCCGUACCAAAACCGACACAGGUAGGCGGGGAGAGAAUCCUAAGGUGCGCGGGAAAACCCUCGUUAAGGAACUCGGCAAAAUGCAUCCGUAACUUCGGGAAAAGGAUGGCCGUCUAGGGUGAAGACAUAUACUGUUGGAGCUUUGGGCGGCGGCAGAAAAGAGGCCCAAGCGACUGUUUACCACAAACACAGGUGCCUGCGAAAGCGCAAGCUGAAGUAUAGGUGCUGACGCCUGCCCGGUGCAGGAAGGUUAAGGAGAGUUGUUAGUCCUAGAGAUGAAGCAGCGAACUGAAGCCCCUGUAAACGGCGGCCGUAACUAUAACGGUCCUAAGGUAGCGAAAUUCCUUGUCGGGUAAGUUCCGACCCGCACGAAAGGCGUAACGAUUUGGGCACUGUCUCAACGAGGGACCCGGUGAAAUUGAAAUACCUGUGAAGAUGCAGGUUACCCGCGACUGGACAGAAAGACCCCAUGGAGCUUUACUGCAGCUUGGCAUUGGUCUUUGGCAUAUAACGUACAGGAUAGCCGGGAGACUGGGAAACCUUAUCGCUAGAUGAGGUGGAGUCACCGUUGGGAUACCGGCCUUUAUAUGCUAAGGAUCUAACCGGAACAUUAACAGUGUUCGGGACAGUACCAGGCGGGCAGUUUGACUGGGGCGGUCGCCUCCGAAAGAGCAACGGAGGCGUCCAAAGGUUCCCUCAGCGCGGACAGAAAUCGCGCGAAGAGCAUAAAGGCAGAAGGGAGCUUGACUGCGAGACUGACGGGUCGAGCAGGUACGAAAGUAGGGCUUAGUGAUCCGGUGGAAAGAGAGUGGAAUUGCCAUCGCUCAACGGAUAAAAGCUACCCUGGGGAUAACAGGCUAAUCUCUCCCAAGAGUCCAUAUCGACGGGGAGGUUUGGCACCUCGAUGUCGGCUCAUCACAUCCUGGGGCUGAAGCAGGUCCCAAGGGUUGGGCUGUUCGCCCAUUAAAGUGGUACGUGAGCUGGGUUCAGAACGUCGUGAGACAGUUCGGUCCAUAUCCAUCGCGGGCGUAAGAUACAUGAGGGAGGCUGCUCCUAGUACGAGAGGACCGGAGUGGACGGACCAACGGUGUACCGGUUGUCCUGCCAAGGGCACGGCCGGGUAGCUGCGUCCGGAAGGGAUAAACGCUGAAAGCAUCUAAGCGUGAAGCCCGUCCCGAGAUGAAGUAUCUCAUUCCUAUAAGGAAGUAAGACCCCUUGAAGAAGACAAGGUAGAUAGGCUGGAUGUGGAAGCACAGCAAUGUGUGCAGCUGACCAGCACUAAUCGGUCGAGGGCUUGACUU